UACAGAGGUCUCAAGCGUUGUUCGGAUUCAUUGGGCGUAAAGGGUGCGUAGGUGGCGUGGUAAGUCGGGUGUGAAAUUUCAGAGCUUAACUCCGAAACUGCAUUCGAUACUGCUGUGCUUGAGGACUGGAGAGGAGACUGGAAUUUACGGUGUAGCAGUGAAAUGCGUAGAGAUCGUAAGGAAGACCAGUGGCGAAGGCGGGUCUCUGGACAGUUCCUGACACUGAGGCACGAAGGCCAGGGGAGCAAACGGG
rnacentral:rRNA from 1 species